rnacentral:rRNA from 2 species
ACGACCAUAGGGUGUGGAAAAUAGGGCUUCCCGUCCGCUCAGCCGUACUCAAGCCACACGCCGGGAGGUUAGUAGUUGGGUGGGUGACCACCAGCGAAUCCCUUCUGUUGUAUGUU